CUCCAGCUCUCCCUCUCCCCGUCUCUCCCUCUCCCUCACUUUCGCUUGAAUUUGUCCUACAUUUCGUAAUGUUACGUGUCUGCCAUCCUUAUCCUAUGCCAGAGGUACACUGCCAGCCUCACCCCCUUCUGGACAGGAGUUCUCUGACUUCAGUAGCACUUGGGAUAUUCCACAUCAGUGCCAUGGGAAGGAAGACAAGGCCUGAAGACGAGUCUGCAUCAUCUAGGAAGUUUCCCUGCUUCGUUAGAAUAUCUUCGUUUUCUUUAUCAUACGCUGGCACGCCACGCCAGUACACCACUCCAUGGAAUGCCUGCUGUUGGACACUUGCAGAGCUCUGCCACCAAGCAACCUCCUGCAUUGGAAAUCGGGGACUCCUCCAGGAUCUUAUGUGUGCUUGCUGUUUGAAGCUGCAGAAAAGUGAAUAAUCAAUUAAGUAUUGAUUUCUUGUAAGAUUUGGUAAAUUUCAAAGGCAAGACAAAGAGGAUGGCUUAAGGAAACACUGCAGGGACGUGGCGUAAAUUAGACAACUAACGGAGAUGCAGAAUAAUAUAACACCUCAACUGAAGAUUUCCUUGGAAGAAUUAGCACUAGCUAUUGGAAGACAAUGGUGGAUUUAAUCAAAACAGCAGGCAUGCAAGAAUUUCACUCGUGAACCAGAAAAGGAGCUAAUUAUAACCACCUUUUUAAUGGAGCUAAUUUGACUGAAUGGAUGCAAAUGUGCUUUACUUAUGGAUGAAGAAGCAAGCCUUUCUGCAUGAUCUUGGGAUCAUCUUAUCUGUUAAGCUUUGCAGCUCCUGUCCCCUUCCGAACAUUUUUAUUUCCAGAGAAGGUAUUUAUAUGUAAACAACAGUUAACCAUGCAAAAGAUUCAUCGGGACAAUAUACUAUGGCAUAUGAGCUAUAAUCAUCAUUCUGCAGGCUCUCAGGAUUUCAUCUAACUUGGGGCUUUUGCAACCUUUGCAUGCAAUGAGUGAUGGUGAAGUCUUCUUAAGAAGUGGAUUGGCUCCUUCAUCUUUCAGUACAUGAUGUCAGUUUCCAGCAAUAGCAGAUGUUCUAGUUGAAGACAAAAGAACAUUAGUAAUCUGAAGAAAAUAUUCUCAAAAGAAAAUUAUAGAGUUGGAUUAGAAGAUUUCAUAUAUCAUCUUGUUCCUAUUCAAGACUAAAGUGUGGUCAUUGGAAAGGAAAUAAUUUAAAAAUGUGAGAUAAUUUGUUUCUGGAAAGUAGCCAAAGUGACAAUCAAAGCUUAUUUAUCCAUUCAUUUUAAUAAAAUAUCCUAAAUGUUUAUAAGCAUUGAAAUAGGCAUUAGUCCCAGUUUAUCAUGAAGUGCUCAUUCAUUUAACAAGGUUGAAGUAUGAUAUUAUUACCUUUUUGUAAGGUGAUAUGAAAAUGUCAAUACCAUUUGUGGAUCCUUACAAUGUUCCAGAAAUUGUAUUUCCUUACCUUUGCUGAAAUGUAAACUUUGUCAGUUGCUAUCAGAAACCAUAGAAAUGGCUUAUUAAUUUAUUCCAAUUUAAGAGUAAGUUUUUUGGAAUUCAAAAAAAACUUCAGGAUGAUGUUCAUUACAUUGGAAUAUUUGAGGAUAAUGACAAUACUCAAAAUAAUUUAAUUAUGUUACAUAUUAAAAUUUGUCAUUGAAAUUUGUUUUACUUUAUUCAAACUAUUACAAAUAUGUAAGCUCAGAACAACAAAUGCAAUUGUAUUUAUCACAUACUUUAAAAGCAAAUCAGUUAAUAGUUUACAUAGCAGAGGUAUCUAAUGAAAUAAUUCAAAUAGUUAUUUUUUUCCCUUUUCAUCCUUUAUUUUCUCUGUGCCCUGUUAGCUAUAAUCAGCUUAUGUAUCAUAAUUGGAGGAAAUUCAGUGAGUUACUCUAUUUUUGACUUUAACCUCACCUGCUUAGUUUAUCAUAUAAAACCUCCCCCUGAUCAGGUGACAGUGACAAGCUUUGCAGUCAUGGCCUUGAACGCCAGCUCCAGAAAUCUGAAACUUACCUGGCGGGGUAUGUCCCAUAUAAGUAUAUCUAGCUUCACUUUCAUUGUGCAUAAAUUUAUCAAUUAAUCUAUAAAAAGCAUUCCCAGAGGAAAGCCUAGUGAGCCUUAAACAAUAAAACAGAAGGUCUUGGGAGGGGUUUCAACAAGGAUAAGUUCUAGGAAAUCCAGGGGUGUUGGGGUGAUUUCCAACUCUCUAUGUAUGGGGCCGAGGAGGUCCAAAGAGAGGGGAACACAAUGGCGCAGUCACGAACCAUGAAUAGCUAAUUUGCCAAUGUUUCAAAGUAUAUGUAAAAGAGGCACUUCACUGCAAAUGGUAAGGUUUGUUAAUAGGAUAGUUAAUGGAUUGUCUUCAAAGUUAGAGACCGACGUUUUCAUUCAUUUUAAUUCCUGCUUUAAUUUUAUCAUGUUAUUCUUGAAUUCUUGAAAACUUUGCUUAUAUUUUCUCUCAUUUUAUUUGUGUGUGUGUGUGUGUGUGUGUGUGUGUGUGUGUGUGUGUGUGCACCUGUGAAUGUAGUAGAGGACAGAGAUUGACAUCAGGUGUCUCCCUCUGUUACUUUCCACCAUGUUUUCUUUUGUG